rnacentral:snRNA from 1 species
GUGAUUGCUUCUGCUGUACAUAUACCUAAAACUGGAAUGAAGCAGAGAAGGUUAUCAAGGCCCCUGCACAAGAAUGACAGGGAAAUUAAUGAAGCAUCCCAUAUGUUU